AUUAGAUACCCGGGUAGUCCGCACAGUAAACGAUGGAUGCCAGCUGUCCGGGCCGAAUGGGGCCUGGGUGGCAAAGCGAAAGCGUUAAGCAUCCCACCUGGGGAGUACGCCGGCAACGGUGAAACUCAAAGGAAUUGACGGGGGCCCGCACAAGCGGAGGAACAUGUGGUUUAAUUCGAUGAUACGCGAGGAACCUUACCCGGGCUCAAACGCGUCAGGGAUCCCCUUCGAAAGGAGGGGAGUCAGCAAUGACCUGGCGCGAGGUGCUGCAUGGUUGUCGUCAGCUCGUGCCGUGAGGUGUCGGCUUAAGUGCCAUAACGAGCGCAACCCCUACCGACAGUUGCUAACUGGUGAAGCAGAGGACUCUGUCGGGACUGCCGGCGCAAGCUGCGAGGAAGGCGGGGAUGACGUCAAAUCAGCACGGCCCUUACGUCCGGGGCGACACACGUGUUACAAUGGCAGGUACAGCGGGAAGCCACCGGGCGACCGGGCGCGGAACCCGAAAACCUGUCUCAGUUCGGAUCGGAGUCUGCAACCCGACUCCGUGAAGCUGGAUUCGCUAGUAAUCGCGCAUCAGCCACGGCGCGGUGAAUACGUUCCCGGGCCUCGUACACACCGCCCGUCAAGCCAUGGGAGCCGGGGGUGCCUGAAGUCCGUGACCGCAAGGGGCGGCCUAGGGUAAAACCGGUGACUGGGGCUAAGUCGUAACAAGGUAACAAGGGCGAAUCGCGGCC
rnacentral:rRNA from 1 species